rnacentral:rRNA from 1 species
CCAAUAGCGUAUAUUAACGUUGUUGCAGUUAAAAAGCUCGUAGUUGGAUUUCUGGAGGGAGCGUCGGCCCGUAUUUACGAGUGCGUGACGUCUCUGUCCAUCCUUGCGGGAAGGCACGGCAUUGAUUUGUUGUGUCGGAUCGCAUCAUUUACUGUGAAAAAAUUAGAGUGUUCAAAGCAGGCUUUCGCUUGAAUACAUUAGCAUGGAAUAAUAAGAUAGGACUUUGGUGCUAUUUUGUUGGUUGAGCCUAAAGUAAUGAUUAAUAGGGAUAGUUGGGGGCACCUGUAUUGCGUUGUCAGAGGUGAAAUUCUUGGAUUUACGCAAGACAAACAGCUGCGAANGNGUCUGCNAAGGAUGUUUNCAUUA